UCAACUUGUCUUCAUAGGAGAAGUGCUCCAACCCUUUGAUCAUCUUCAUGGCCCUCUUCUGGACAGCACUCAAUAGACAUUAAACACAUUUGAGGGCUUGCUGAUUGAAUACAGGUGGGGAAAAAAAAGCACAAGCUCCUUUACAUUGUUAUGCUGUAUAAGCACCUUGCAUAAUUACCUUAGCCCUAACAUAAUUUUAAUUAUGUUAGAAUUAGUGCGAAGAAUUUUAUCUGAGACUGAUGUAAAUAUUUUUUGCUCUUACUACUUUGAUGUGCCUGGAAAGAGAUUAAGGUUUGCUUUGAUAAUUAGUGUGUUGCAUGUGGCCAAAAAAAUUCAUUACAAACACAGUUAAUUAAGUUGUCAACAAAGCUUUGGUCUCCAGUGGGUGAGAAUAACUCAAUAAUUUUGUUUGGCUUGAUGGGGGAUUUUCGUUUUAUUGCUGUCAGCCCUGCCUGUUGGUAGGGGCACAUGUCAGAAAGGUAUUUUCCAGGUGGUUAUGUAGCUGUACACAGUGUCCAUGGUGCCGCCAGGGCUGUAUUGCAGGGAAAGGAAAUGUCAGAUUUACACUUGGAAGCCCUGCAACUGUGUCCUCUGGAACACUUUCUUCCUCCAGUGUCACAGGAAGUCAGAUCUUUCCCCUCAAUAUCCUUAUCCAGUUGUAGGAUCUCAUGUUUGCCACCUGGGCAUGGAUGCAAUGCAUGGUUAGGGUUACAGGAAGGCUAGGGUGAGAGUGAAGGUUAGGGUCAGGUUUAAGGUUGUGUUUCAUUCUGUUUGCAUUGCCUUGCAUUGGGUAUGGGCUAGGAUUAGGGUUGCAUUGUAUUACUUUGGGUUCCAUUGCAUUGCUCUCUGUCCUACCCUGAUGCCAGCACCUCAGGAGCACAGACCUCACUGUGAUGGACUUCUCAGUGUUCCCAAGACUUUGAGCUGGUGCCUGAGAGCUGUUGCCACUGCUGUGCUUGGUCUCAGGUAGGUGAUGGGGAGCAUGGGGUUAGGGCAUCGCUCAAGCACUGAGUACCUCCAAGUGGCUCAUUUCCAUUUCAAAGAGCCCGUCUGUUUUAUCUGGCAAUUAGCUUGCACCCUCUAUAGAAAACGACUCCAUAAAAACAACCGAGCUCCCGGCCAAUCUCCCCUUUUAAAUAUUUUUUAAGUGCAUGAUUAAUACACUUCCCCAGCCCCUGUCUGGGACUGUGCGGGGAGGUCAGGGAGCAGGUAAAUGAAAGAAAAUGGCUUCACUCGGCAUUGACUGGGCUAUUAAUCACUGCCCAUUUUCUAUAAAUCGUGGCAGAUGGCAGAAACAGGCAGGUACUCAUGGGAAAUGACACACUGUGCAUGACGGGAAUUGUGGAUCACAGCCGAGGACCAGGAGAGGACGAGGUCGCUCCUUGCUGUGUGCGCCCUGCUUGCACCACACCUGCACUUCCCCUCCAUGUGACAGCAUUGUCUCACAAAAGGGGCUGCAAAGCUUCCUUGGGCAGCCUGUUCCAGCACAUUGCUGCUCUUUUGGAGAAUAAAUGUUUCCUAAAAGCCAUCCUGAACCUCCCCUGGCAUGACUUGAAGCCACUUUCUCUCAUCUUCUCGAAGCUGCCCAGGAGAAGAGGCUGACCCCCACCUCGCUACAGCCUCCCAACUGUUUGUCCGCAGUGAGUCCAUGGCAGCAGCUCAGGGUGGUGGAAGGUGGUUAUUUGUUUUGGAAGGCAUACAGUGGUACAUGUAUAAAUGCAGGAAAAAGAAGAAUUUAUAUGGAGAGGUACCACUGGGUGAGCAAAAGUGAUCCAGAGGACAAUAAAUGGGGUCUGCUGAUGGUCAGCAAGGAAGGAGAUGGAUAGAACUGUGACCCCCACGAGUGAGAUAGGACAAUGAUAGCCCUGCGUGAAAGUGUGUGAACUGUAGGGGUCCCAAAGCAGCCCCAAGGCCCUAUGGUGAGUUGGAGUUGUGGAGCAGCAGACAUGUGGGAUAUGUGAGAUGACUGUGCUGUAGCCAGGAAAGCUGCUCGUUAUAAGAGCAGGCUGGGUGAUGGGGAGGAUGGCACAGGGGCAUCAAGCACCAACUGGGUGGCCCUGGCAGUUGCUGAAGUUGUCAUUUCCAGUCCAAGGGCUGCUUGGAACCAAAGGAAAAGCACUGCAGGGGGGACAACCUGCUCCCCUUCCUUGGGGUCCUCUGGCCUCCAAGGGGCGAAAGCCCUUUUUCUGGCACCAGUGGCUCACUCUUCCAUUCAAUGCAUUAUUCAAACCGGAUGUUUUUCACCCCAAAGCAGGCUCAGACUGUGCUGUCCCAGUGCCCAGGUCCUGCUGCACACUUCAGGCUGGAAAAUCUGAGCCCAUGCAUUUUGGGGAGGGCUGGGCCUGUGUCCCCCACCCCUUCCUGCUCCCCCCGCCUGCCUCACGGGGGCCUAAUAUUUGUGCGUGUGUGUUUUAACGCGGCAUAUGGUCUUCAUUACAUGCAGACUUCUCACUUCCAUAAUUAUACCAUGAUGGGAGUUCCUGUCAAAGCCAUAAAGCAAAUUCUCUUCCCCCGCCCCAUCCCUCCGCCCCCACCAGCCCUCCCCAUAAAACUCACAGGGGUCCCAGUUUGCGAGGAGAAAGAAAACCCCAUUAACCCUUUACUCCCUCCAUUUAAGUGGGAAUGGAGAAAAGAGCUGUGAGGAAGGGGAUGGGUUGUGUGUAUCCAGAUUUUGGGCACGUGUGAAAGAGCAUGGCGAGGUGGUGGUGCCCAAAUUGUGCCACAGGGAGAGACAAGCCGUAACCUGGCUCAGUGCCCCUAUUGCUGCCUUUCUUGUGCUAUCCACCUCCAAAGUGUGAGCCCCUCUGGGUAGCGCCUGGCAGCUGUUUAACAGCACGCAGCGACGCUGCCCUGCAGUUUAGGACAGGAAAUGAAGGCGGCUGUAUCUGCAGGGGGAGUGAGGCCAGCAGACAGCAAUUACCUGUGUGGGAGCUUGGCCAGAGCUUUGCUCCUCCAAGAGCUGCCGUGGGGCUGGACGCUGACGGCCGGGGUGCAGGUGCUGGGCCCCGUAUGUGGCCAGGGUGGUGGGUAGCAGGAAAAGCUUGUGCACAAAUGGGAAAUACUGUUGAUUGUUUUGUUUUUGUUUAAAAUUAAAUGCUCUUUUAGUCUGUGAUGGAUCAGAAAAUGCGCUCGGCUGUCUCUAUGUAGAAGUACAACAUAUUGGAGAAGGCAUCUUUGCCCAGCGUGCUGACCUGGUGUUGCUUUGCUCUCUGCGAGAUGUAGGAUGUGCCCUGUAUGACUGCACAAGGCUUGUCCCAGCACCCCACAAGCGACCCUGCUCAUCUCAAUACUUGCCAAGGUCAAACUCAUCUGCACUGGCAGCUCCCUUAAUCCAAGGUAGGACAUAGACAGCAUGAAUGGAGAGUGGAGGAGGAUGACAGCAAGAGAUUUGCUACCUCAGGCAGGUGACAUUUUCCGUCGAGACCUCCAGUGCUUCCAGGGAGAGGAGAGAAGUGGCACAGACCUGUUCAAGAAGGCCUGAACACAUGGUGUUAGCUUCUCUGGUGAGAAAGGUCCUCUCUCAGGAAUAUGGCUCUCAUGGAUCCUGGAGGGAAAUGGGCUUUGUGGUCACAGACUGAGCUGGAGGGUACUCAGGUCUCAGCUGACUCCAUACUUCCUACACAGUGACCGUCUUGUGUGAAAAGCAAGGAGUUUCCCAGACAGUUUGUGACAUCAAGCAUCCGUGUUGGUGGGAAGGGAGGAGGAUGAGGCUCUACAUCAUUGUGAGUGCUACUGGACCCCCCAAAAGGCUGAGAGUUUGGAAAGCGUCUGCAUGAUCAGUUCCUUCCCUGAACUAUCUGUGCUGGAGGCUCGUGAAUCUUGGAAGGAAAGACCUUCUCAUGAGAUUUGUGGUGUGUCCAGUCCCAGCCAGAAAUACCACAAGAAAAGCCUCUCUUGGGGAGAUCCCAGCUCUGACCAGGAAAUAGAGUGAUGAGAGAGCAAGUAAAAUCCAGACGUGGCCCCUAUCUGCUUUACUGGAUUCUGGGAAACCAAGUUCUUUGUGGAGUACAGUUUUGUCGGGUAUCUUUCUCAAGCAUAUCUCUGCUUCGCAUUUGCCAGCUAUAAUUAAGUCAGGCCCACAUAUCAAAGCUAUGUGUGUGCAUCUGCAUGUACAUAAAGUUGCCAGCAGAUCACUUUUGCUUAUUUUUCUGCUCACAGAUGAGGAGCUGAGCUCACUCCCACAUUCAGCGAGAGCUCUGGCCCAGACAGCUGCCUUGGGAGAAGCAUUGGCUGUUCUCCUGGUGGGCAAGUGUUGCAUUUCUGAAUGACUUUAACAAGAAGUGCUUAAGUGCUUGAGUUUUGCACAUCCAAAGCAAUUGCUUCACAAACAAACAAGCUGGUUCUUGCCUCUGCUUUCUUGCACAGUUUUCCUUGCAGUGUUACCUUGCAGGUUGGCCUCGAAGCACAUGAAUCAAAUUAGAUUAGCUUCCUGCUAAGAGGGGCUGGAUGGUGUGAUCAGCAGCUACAGAGAGCGUAGAAGAUGCUUGCUGAAUUUUAAAGGUGGCAGACUCAGGCUCUGGAGGGGCAUUUGCAGGGAAGGAAGACAUCCUGAGUUUGCCAGCUCUGCUCUUCUCAUUAGAUGGCUGUGAAGACCAUGUUCUUAAAUCACCAGGAAGCAGGAGGAUAUCAAGUAACUGCCCAUGAGUUUCCAAGAUGCUCAUGCAUUGUUGGCAAGGACUUUGGUGUCAGUUCUCCAAGGAGAUCCACAGCAAACUCCUGACCUGGAGCCUUCCAGCAGAUUUCCCUGGAGAAAGUGGAGAUAGUGGGUGAGGCCUUGCCAAAGCAAAGUGGCUGACAGAGUGACCUAGCUGACACGGGUUGCAGCCAUGGGUAACAAAUUCAGCAGUGAUGUCCCUGGGUAUGGAGCUCAGGCAUUGUAUCUGUACCAAGGAGGCACAAGUGGCUGUUGAGCUGUAGCUCUCUAACUCCUCUGCAAGGCUCAAGAGAUGUGCAACGCUUUGCUGUUGGCUUGAUAAGAGGAAAUGCUGAUUUCCUGUGAGUGAGCAAAGGUGGCCAUGGCCUUCCUUGAAGAACCUGAUCCUGCACCAUGGAAUAAAACAUUUCAACAAAAAACCAAGCAUCUGCCUCAAAGUAGGCCAGGUGGAGGAGCCAGGUGUCAGUGGCGGAAAGAAGGAGGGAGGAAGGCUCUGGGAUCAUCAGCCAUCCACGCAGCGCUGCCUUUAGCCAGAGCAAUCUGCAGAUGUAUGUGAUGUCAUUCCUCCUGGCAACUGAGAGAAAAAGAGAGAGAGAGAACCUCAUUGCAGGAAACAAGAGCCCUUUUCUGGGGGUACCAUUCUUCCUCUUUAACUGCUGUUAACCCAAGACAAAGUUUUCAGCACAGAAACACCUCCAUGAAACAGAGCUGGAAAGAAGAGAAACAACAGAUCCCUGUGAGC